rnacentral:tRNA from 1 species
GCACGGAUAGCUCAGUGGUAGAGCGGCUGUUUUACACGUAGUUGAUCGGGUGCGAAUCCUUCUCCGUGUACCA